rnacentral:lncRNA from 8 species
CCUGAAAGAGGUUCAACAACAUCUGGAGCACCUGAGCUGAGUGACUUGGAGGGCCAGAGAAAAGUGGUUGAGACGCUCCUGAACUGCGCUGAGUGACUUGGAGGGCCAGAGAAAAGUGGUUGAGACGCUCCUGAACUGCGCUGAGUGACUUGGAGGGCCAGAGAAACGAAGUUGAGACAACAGAGAGGCCCAAAACGUAGAGGCUUGUACUUGGUUGCUGCUUACCUGGUGGGAGCUGCAGAUAGCAGGGACAGACAGGCUGAGGUUUCAGGAGCAGGUCCUCUAUAGGACAUACUGAGAGGAGACUACAAGACUUCUCCUACAGGGUCACCCACCACAACAUGCAAGGGAAAAGUGAACCCGAACACCAAGACAAUAAUAUGGAAUCACACUUUGAUCCCAACAAGCAGCCUGAAAGUCCCCCGUCUGAGAACGAGCCCUCCAAUCCAGUCAAAGUCCGCCAGAACCCCAAAUAUCAGCUGUUUCUGGAUGGAGACAUGAUUGGGAACGGAUCCAGGGAUACAAAUGGAACGUCUGGGAGAGAGAACGGGAACGGGAGAGAACCCAAGAACAGUUCCCGUUGGGACAGCGCUAGCUCCAGAUUCGUGCCAAACUUCCGCGGGUCCUUGGAGUCUCUUGCCUCUCGGGACUGGGACACCAUGUCGGACAGGGUGAAUGCCCGGGGACUAGGGGUCACAUAGGGCUGGUACUGGGGACAGGGGAAUCACACAGGGCUGGGGACCAAUAACAGGUCUGGUGCUUGGGCCUGCAGGGGCCAGGGGAUUCAUACAGGGGUGGUGGGUGGGGCCAGUACUGCUAGGGCCCCAAGAGAAUCAGACAUGGCUGAGGGACAGUAUUAGGGCUGGGGCUUGGGCCUUCAGGGGCCAUUUCUGACAAGGACCACCAGAGACCGAGAUGGGGGAAUGGGGGCCAGGCAAACGACAUGUUGUCCACCUACUCUAACUAAACCGAUCAGCACCAGAUGCUGCCUUUAGACUUAAGCAGAUCAGCAAUUGUCUGUCUGCUCCAACUGCUGUACUGUAGGAGCAUGGCGUGAGCCACCUUAGACCUGGCGUUUAUGAUGCAGUGCCACCUACUGGUGUACAACAGGCUUUACAAUAAUAUCAAUAUUAAAAUCCAGAUUGGAAUUGACCAUAAUGUUAUUACAAAGACAACAUUUUUUGGAAUCUUAAUGUUUUUAUUUAUGUGUUUUAUCAAUGGAAUGUUUCUGUGUGUGUUGUCUAGGUGGGAGGUUUUGAGAGUCCACCCAGGGUGUUCAACAGUCCCUACGCUACAGCGGCUUCCACGGAGUACACCCCUGGCAUGAACCGGAUGUCAGAGCAAAAGGUAAGACACUCAGCAAAAUGGGAUUAUGUGCUACAGCAACAAAUGUUUUUUGUUGUCUUAGAGAGCAAAGAAUGAUGAUAUUAUUGUACAGUGGCUUGUGAAAGUAUUCACCAUCCUUUGCAUUUUUCCUAUUUUGUUGCCUUACAACCUGGAAUUAAAAUUGAUUUUUUUGGGGGGUUUGUAUCAUUUGAUUUACACAACAUGCCUACCACUUCGAAGAUGCAAAAUAUUUUUUGAGAAACAAACAAGAAAUAAGACAAAAAAAAAUGAAAACUUGAGCGUGCAUAACUAUUCACCGCCCAGAGUCAAUACUUUGUAGAGCCACCUUUAGCAGCAAUUACAGCUGAAAGUCUCUUGGGGUAUGUCUCUAUAAGCUUGGCACAUCUAGCCACUUGGAUUUUUGCUCU